UACGGGGGGGGCAAGCGUUGUUCGGAAUUACUGGGCGUAAAGGGUCUGUAGGCGGCUUGCUAAGUCAGACGUGAAAUCCCUCAGCUUAACUGGGGAACUGCGUCUGAGACUGGCGAGCUUGAGGGCAGGAGAGGAACGCGGAAUUCCAGGUGUAGCGGUGAAAUGCGUAGAUAUCUGGAGGAACACCGGUGGCGAAGGCGGCGUUCUGGACUGCAUCUGACACUGAAAGACGAAAGCCAGGGGAGCAAACGGG
rnacentral:rRNA from 1 species